rnacentral:rRNA from 1 species
UGGGGAAUAUUGCGCAAUGGGCGAAAGCCUGACGCAGCGACGCCGCGUGAGGGAUGAAGGUCUUCGGAUCGUAAACCUCUGUCAGGAGGGAAGAAGUGGGGAUAUGCGAACAGUGUAUUUCCUUGACGGUACCUCCAAAGGAAGCACCGGCUAACUCCGUGCCAGCAGCCGCGGUAAUACGGAGGGUGCGAGCGUUAAUCGGAAUCACUGGGCGUAAAGCGCGCGUAGGCGGCUUUUCAAGUCAGGGGUGAAAUCCCACGGCCCAACCGUGGAACUGCCUUUGAAACUGGAGAGCUUGAGUGUCGGAGAGGGUGGCGGAAUUCCAGGUGUAGGAGUGAAAUCCGUAGAUAUCUGGAGGAACACCGGUGGCGAAGGCGGCCACCUGGACGACAACUGACGCUGAGGUGCGAAAGCGUGGGUAGCAAACAGG